UCUUGUAAAAAUGCGAUGUUUCCAGAGG
rnacentral:sRNA from 1 species